rnacentral:rRNA from 1 species
AAACUUAAAUGAAUUGACGGGGACCCGCACAAGCGGUGGAUGAUGUGGAUUAAUUCGAUGCAACGCGAAAACCUUACCUACGCUUGACAUGCCAGAAACCCCGCAGAGAUGUGGGGGUGCCCGAAAGGGAAUCUGGACACAGGUGCUGCAUGGCUGUCGUCAGCUCGUGUCGUGAGAUGUUGGGUUAAGUCCCGCAACGAGCGCAACCCUUGUCCUUAGUUGCUACGCAAGGGCACUCUAAGGAGACUGCCGGUGACAAACCGGAGGAAGGUGGGGAUGACGUCAAGUCCUCAUGGCCCUUAUGUGUAGGGCUUCACACGUCAUACAAUGGUCGGUACAGAGGGUCGCCAACCCGCGAGGGGAGCCAAUCCCAGAAAGCCGAUCGUAGUCCGGAUUGCACUCUGCAACUCGAGUGCAUGAAGUCGGAAUCGCUAGUAAUCGCGGAUCAGCAUGUCGCGGUGAAUACGUUCCCGGGUCUUGUACACACCGCCCGUCACACCAUGGGAGUGGGUUUUACCAGAAGUAGUUAGCUUAACCGCAAGGAGGGCGAUUACCACGGUAGGGCUCAUGACUGGGGUGAAGUCGUAACAAGGUAGCCGUAUCGGAAGGUGCGGCUGGAUCACCUCCUUUCUG